rnacentral:tRNA from 1 species
GUUAAUUUAGUUUAAAUAGAACUUCCGCUUUGCAUGUGGAAAGUAAAAUAAUUUUUUAAUUGACA